rnacentral:rRNA from 1 species
UACGUAGGGUGCGAGCGUUAAUCGGAAUUACUGGGCGUAAAGGGCUCGUAGGCGGCCAACUAAGUCAGACGUGAAAUCCCUCGGCUUAACCGGGGAACUGCGUCUGAUACUGGAUGGCUUGAGUUUGGGAGAGGGAUGCGGAAUUCCAGGUGUAGCGGUGAAAUGCGUAGAUAUCUGGAGGAACACCGGUGGCGAAGGCGGCAUCCUGGACCAAUACUGACGCUGAGGAGCGAAAGCCAGGGGAGCAAACGGG